rnacentral:rRNA from 1 species
GGAUGAACGCUGGCGGCGUGCCUAAUCCAUGCAAGUCGAGCGAACAGACGAGGAGCUUACUCCUCUGACGUUAGCGGCGGACGGGUGAGUAACACGUGGAUAACCUACCUAUGAGACUGGGAUAACUUCGGGAAACCGGAGCUAAUACCGGAUAACAUGUUGAACCGCAUGGUUCAACAGUGAAAGACGGUCUUGCUGUCACUUAUAGAUGGAUCCGCGUCGCAUUAGCUAGUUGGUAAGGUAACGGCUUACCAAGGCAACGAUGCGUAGCCGACCUGAGAGGGUGAUCGGCCACACUGGAACUGAGACACGGUCCAGACUCCUACGGGGGGCAGCAGUAGGGAAUCUUCCGCAAUGGGCGAAAGCCUGACGGAGCAACGCCGCGUGAGUGAAGAAGGUCUUCGGAUCGUAAAACUCUGUUAUUAGGGAAGAACAAAUGUGUAAGUAACUAUGCACGUCUUGACGGUACCUAAUCAGAAAGCCACGGCUAACUACGUG